CUACGGGUGGCAGCAGUGGGGAAUAUUGCACAAUGGGCGCAAGCCUGAUGCAGCGAUGCCGCGUGAGGGAAGACGGCCUUCGGGUUGUAAACCUCUGUCAUUGGGGACGAAUUAAUGACUGUACCCAAGGAGGAAGCCACGGCUAGCUACGUGCCAGCAGCCGCGGUAAUACGUAGGUGGCGAGCGUUGUCCGGAAUUACUGGGUGUAAAGGGAGCGUAGGCGGGCUUGCAAGUUGAAUGUUUAAUCUAUGGGCUCAACCCAUAGCUGCGUUCAAAACUGCAAGUCUUGAGUGGAGUAGAGGCAGGCGGAAUUCCUAGUGUAGCGGUGAAAUGCGUAGAUAUUAGGAGGAACACCAGUGGCGAAGGCGGCCUGCUGGGCUCUAACUGACGCUGAGGCUCGAAAGCGUGGGUAGCAAACAGGAUUAGAUACCCCGGUAGUC
rnacentral:rRNA from 1 species